rnacentral:sRNA from 1 species
CUCUUCCAGGGCUGAGUCUGGGCCCCAGGACACACGUGCAGGCAGGGCACCUCCCCAAGCCCACCCUCUGGGCUGAGCCAGGCUCUGUGAUCACCCAGGGGAGUCCCGUGACCCUCAGGUGUCAGGGGAGCCAGGAGACCCAGGAGUACCAUCUAUAUAGAGAAAAGAAAACAGCACGCUGGAUUACACGGAUCCCACAGGGGCUUGUGAAGAAGGGCCAGUUCCCCAUCCCAUCCAUCACCUGGGAACACGCAGGGCGGUAUGGCUGUUUCUACGGUAGCCACACUGCAGGCUGGUCAGAGCCCAGUGACCCCCUGGAGCUGGUGGUGAUAGGAGCCUACAUCAAACCCACCCUCUCAGCCCAGCCCAGCCUUGUGGUGACCUCAGGAGGAAGCGUGACCCUCCAGUGUGUCUCACAGGUGGCAUUUGGUGGCUUCACUCUGUGUAAGGAAGC